rnacentral:rRNA from 1 species
GGAUCCAGACUUUGAUUCUGGCUCAGGAUGAACGCUAGCUACAGGCUUAACACAUGCAAGUCGAGGGGCAGCAUGGUCUUAGCUUGCUAAGGCUGAUGGCGACCGGCGCACGGGUGAGUAACACGUAUCCAACCUGCCGUCUACUCUUGGCCAGCCUUCUGAAAGGAAGAUUAAUCCAGGAUGGCAUCAUGAGUUCACACGUCCGCAUGAUUAAAGGUAUUUUCCGGUAGACGAUGGGGAUGCGUUCCAUUAGAUAGUAGGCGGGGUAACGGCCCACCUAGUCAACGAUGGAUAGGGGUUCUGAGAGGAAGGUCCCCCACAUUGGAACUGAGACACGGUCCAAACUCCUACGGGAGGCAGCAGUGAGGAAUAUUGGUCAAUGGGCGAUGGCCUGAACCAGCCAAGUAGCGUGAAGGAUGACUGCCCUAUGGGUUGUAAACUUCUUUUAUAAAGGAAUAAAGUCGGGUAUGCAUACCCGUUUGCAUGUACUUUAUGAAUAAGGAUCGGCUAACUCCGUGCCAGCAGCCGCGGUAAUACAGAGGAUCCGAGCGUUAUCCGGAUUUAUUGGGUUUAAAGGGAGCGUAAAUGGA